ACCUCUUUAGCGGAGAUAACAUCCACAGAGACAUGAAAUGACCAUAGACACCGACUUACCACAUUUGGAUGCUAACAGACCACAGACGGAAACAAAACAACACAAACACUGCAGUGUCUCUUUCAUUCUAGGGACCAACAUUGGAGGUGUGGGCAGGGCUUUUACCCAAUCCAAACCCAGAGGCCCAUCAUCUCAUAAUCCAUCCACCCAAUCACCAAAAUAAAAGCAGAAACACAAAUGAAGGCCUCAGGCGGAGGACUCCAGGCCUCUGGAAUCCUGUGUUUGGUCAACUCUUUCCUCCUUGUCGACUCCCAGAAGAGCGUCUGCCUUGGAGAAGAAUUCCUCCUUCAGGGAGAUGACAAUGAUCUGCAUGUUCUUUCUGGACUCCUUCCUGAUGAAACUGGUCAACUGAAUGUGAACAAAAUACCAACAUAGUGCGCAGUUUUGUUGAACUUCCAGGAUUACCUGUGAAUAGCGAACACCAGGGCCAGAGCAGCAAUGGACUUUUCUCCACCAGACAGAUUGUCCAUGGACAUGAAGGAUUUUCCAGGCGCCACACAGUUGUAGUUGAUGCCGCCAAGAGCUUUCAGGUUGGGGGCUGUGGUGCGAUGCAGUUCUGACUCAAUGGCGGACACUGACUCCUUCAGCUUCUCUAGUGAAGCCUCUACCUCCUUCUCUCCCUGCAGACUCUGUAUAAACAUAUAUUCAAUACAAGUAUGUGCUGUACAAAUGUAUUGUGGUACAUGCUGGUCCCAUGAAUAAACAGAACUCAGAUAAAAUCAGGGAGAUGAUGAAGUUUCAAGUCUCACCCUGAGCUCAGCCUCCAGUUCAGAGUAAUCGAUGACGAGCUGUGCCUCUCUCUCAUAGAUGUCCAUGGUAGCUGAAGUGCUUUCUGAUUCUGUGUCCGGCUGCACAACAAACACAGAUCAGUCAAACCAAAUGUUUUAAAAUAACUCUUGAGUUUUACAGUAAAUGUGCAUGCAUAUUCCUUUGCUGACUUUAAAACUGACACCUGCACUUCUCCUGUGUCUCUCUGUGUCCUACCUGCACCCUACUGAUUUCAUUCAGGCUCCCUGACAGCAGAGUAAUGGGCAGACUCUGGAUCUUGCAGGCCAGCAGUAGGUUGUGUCUGGCCAAGCGUUUCUGCUCUAAAGCCGACUCUGCAGACAUCACCUCACGCUGAAGUUUCACCAACUCUCUGACAGAAGGAGAAAAGUUCCCUUUAAAAACACCGCUAUUUCUUAUAGUUUUGUUCAGAGCUGGAUUUUAUUUUUCGUCAUCAUAAAAGUGGAAGAUAAGGGCACACUUAAAAAUAAGAGUCACUCAUAAAUUUUUUUUACAUUUACCAGCAUGUGUUUUGAGACUGAAAAUGUGUUAUAUGCUCUUGUAGAAGUCACUACUGAAGUCUGUAUAUCUACUGCAUAUGUGUUGUAUUCACAAUUUCAAGGAGAAAUACUCCACUAACCACAAUCCUCAAGUGUAAAAGUUAUGUGUUUGAUUGGUGGGGCUCAGUGUCACAAUGGAAAUUGUUCAACACUUUAACCUCAUUAAGGAUUUUCUGAAACGUCAAUGGAGGAAAUGAAUGGAAAAGUUACAUCCAGAACAAUCAAAAGUGGGCAGUCACUGAUCUCUAUGGUUUGCACAAGUUAACAUCACAUCUUACAUUUAACAUUUUACUUAAAGAGUCCCUACCUUCAAUAAAUUCCGUAACAAUUUCGUGAAAAAGUAUAUGAGCUACCUCCCAGAGGAGAAACCUCUGUAGAAGCAUCUGCUGCUGAACUAAUAGAAACAGUGGCAGUUGCACUAAUAAUAUUAGUGUAAUUCUAACUGUUUGAUCUCUUGAAGCCUUUGGGUUUUCUGGUCCAGCUCAGCUUUGGCAGCUGCCACUUGGUUCUUAUUAGACAGCAGCCUGUUGUUCACCUCCAGCAGUUUUUUCUGAGCUUCCUCCACCAGCAGAAGCAGCUGCUCCUCAUCCUGCAGAAAAACAAUGAAACAUGCAAUGGCCGAAAAAUUUGAUCCGAGCCAGAGUUGUCCAGCACCAGUCCAAGAAACUACUAAACUCUUGAUUCAACUUUUAGUUAGUGGGGCCAUUAUUUCUGGCCAUGCUCAUUGGAAACUAAAAUUGUAACUGUGCGCGGUAUUUUACCCUCUGGCAAAUAACAAGAGGUAGUCCAACACUGAGAUGAUUACCUUCUUCUGCUCUGCCAUUGACCUCUUCUCCUUGUUGAUAGUUGCCUCCAUUUUGUGCAGCUUCUCUAUCUGCUGCUUCAGUUGGUCUUGUUCAUAUUCCAGCUGAGCACUCAGACGAGCACGCUGUGACUCAAACUCCAGCCUUAGGGGAGAGGAAUGAUGCAUCAAUGUGUUUAUGUUGCAAAUGACAUGGAGCACGUACCGUGCAAGUACUGUAAUUUUAUAAAACAAGUAUACACAGUACUAAAACAUGUACAAAACUAAAUCUGUAUUUAUAAGAAAAUUACAUACAAUUACAUUAAAAACAUGAUCAAAUUGAGUUUCCAUUAGAACCUGUUUUAGAGUUCAUUCACCACUUUGACAGUUCACACCCACAAUCCUCCAUGAUCAAAUCCCAUCUCCUUAAAGCAAUUCACGCUGUGAAAAGCUACAUGUGUGUCAGAGUGUCCCGAAAUACUGACUCAUCAGAACGUGUGAGGUGCAUUGAGGAAGACGUCUCUUGAGUCAGCCGAGGAUCACUAUGCUUGAUUUAUUUAUAACCCUGGCUAAGUUAGUGACUCGAUGGAGUGAAGGCCAAUGGUAACUUCUUAACCGUCUGAAUGACUUACUGAUGGAGUCAUAAGUAAACCCACCUGAUACCAGUGUAUAACAGUUGUCACAAACCCUUUUUAAUCCAAACGUAAGUUGAGAUCUACCACCUUGAUAUCUUCCAAAAAAAAAAACACAUAUUUAUAAUUUCUGUUAAAGGUUGAAUAUAUGAAUAUUCAUAUACACAAAGAAAGGCAGUGAUGCAGCUUUAUCUAUUCAAUGCACAAAGUUAACAUUAAUAUCAAUUCAUAUUUAUUGCAUCUGUUCAAUGCACAAUAUUUAGCUUAUGUAGAACAAUGUUUUUACAUAGAUUUUGCCUUGAAUAUGGCCAUAAAUAUAUGACUAUUUCAUGUAGUCCUAUUUACUCAAAUAAAUACCAGUACUAUACAGUAUGAAGCCUUGCAUCUUCCGCUCCUGAAACUAUUUUACAAUAAAAACAACUUUUAAAACAAAAGAAUAGAUUCUGUCAAUGGAAAUGCUUUUAUUUUGAAACGCAUACAGAAAGUGUUGCAAACAUUUGUUUGUGACAUAAAUUCAUGGGAUAAAACAAUGAAACUCUGUUGAAAGAUAGUAUCUCUGUUUAUUCUGCAGUCAAGUACAAUGUUUAUCUGUCAAUGUCACAAAAAAAUUUCCAACACUUCCGAACCAGUUUCAAAGUUAAAGCACUCAAGCGUUUCACUUUCUGAAUCCAUUCCUUUGUUCUAACAGAGCUUUGAUUGUUAUCGACAGACUGCAAGAUUAAUGACAAAAGUCAUAUAUUGUGAUUGUAUUAAAAGGCUGACUUAAAACAUCUAUGAAACUUUAAAGCCCUGCACAAUUCCUGACUCAAAAUCACAAAUUAAAUAUUUAUCACAGAGGUGUUUAUCAUAAAUCCUUUAUCACAGACCUGGCUGGUUAAAUCUAUCACAUAAAAAUGAUGAGUGGUUGUCGUACCUUUUUUUGUCAAGCUCUUCCUGCUGUUUAAGGUAUUCCUGCUCAUACUCUCGGAUGCUGUCCACACCGAUCUCAGCACAGAAGUCAGCAAACACCAGGUCCUCAAUCUGAAUACAAAUAUCAUCUCAUUAAAAUUUGAUGAGGUGUUAUAAAAUUAUCAGGAUUUAUUGAGAACAAUUAUGUCAUUUGAACUUUUAAAGCUUUUUUUAUCUUAACAGUAAUAUAGGAAAUGUAGAAAGUAGUGGUGUUGGAAAAAUCAAUUGUAGUCCAUGUCAGCAUGAGGCAACAGGCUGUGAAAGUGCUGCAAAUAAAGGAACCUGAUCGA